CCUAUGGGUGGCAGCAGUGAGGAAUAUUGGUCAAUGGGCUUACGCCUGAACCAGCCAAGUCGCGUGAGGGAAGACUGCCCUAUGGGUUGUAAACCUCUUUUGUCAGGGAGCAAUUGGCGCUACGUGUAGCGUUAUCGAGAGUACCUGAAGAAAAAGCAUCGGCUAACUCCGUGCCAGCAGCCGCGGUAAUACGUAGGUGGCAAGCGUUGUCCGGAUUUACUGGGGGUAAAGGGCGGGUAGCCGGGUUGACAAGUCAGAUGUGAAAUCCUGCGGCUUAACCGCCGAACGGCAUUUGAAACCGGUGGUCGUGAGGACCGGGGAGGCAGGAGGAAUUCCUAGUGUAGCGGUGAAAUGCGUAGAUAUUAGGAAGAACACCAGUGGCGAAGGCGGUCUGCUGGACAGCAACUGACGGUGAGGCGCGAAAGCGUGGGGAGCAAACAGGAUUAGAUACCCCAGUAGUC
rnacentral:rRNA from 1 species